rnacentral:rRNA from 1 species
GUCGAGCGGACAGAUGGGAGCUUGCUCCCUGAUGUUAGCGGCGGACGGGUGAGUAACACGUGGGUAACCUGCCUGUAAGACUGGGAUAACUCCGGGAAACCGGGGCUAAUACCGGAUGCUUGUUUGAACCGCAUGGUUCAAACAUAAAAGGUGGCUUCGGCUACCACUUACAGAUGGACCCGCGGCGCAUUAGCUAGUUGGUGAGGUAACGGCUCACCAAGGCAACGAUGCGUAGCCGACCUGAGAGGGUGAUCGGCCACACUGGGACUGAGACACGGCCCAGACUCCUACGGGAGGCAGCAGUAGGGAAUCUUCCGCAAUGGACGAAAGUCUGACGGAGCAACGCCGCGUGAGUGAUGAAGGUUUUCGGAUCGUAAAGCUCUGUUGUUAGGGAAGAACAAGUACCGUUCGAAUAGGGCGGUACCUUGACGGUACCUAACCAGAAAGCCACGGCUAACUACGUGCCAGCAGCCGCGGUAAUACGUAGGUGGCAAGCGUUGUCCGGAAUUAUUGGGCGUAAAGGGCUCGCAGGCGGUUCCUUAAGUCUGAUGUGAAAGCCCCCGGCUCAACCGGGGAGGGUCAUUGGAAACUGGGGAACUUGAGUGCAGAAGAGGAGAGUGGAAUUCCACGUGUAGCGGUGAAAUGCGUAGAGAUGUGGAGGAACACCAGUGGCGAAGGCGACUCUCUGGUCUGUAACUGACGCUGAGGAGCGAAAGCGUGGGGAGCGAACAGGAUUAGAUACC